GAUGAACGCUGGCGGCGUGCCUAAUACAUGCAAGUCGAGCGAACAGACGAGGAGCUUGCUCCUCUGACGUUAGCGGCGGACGGGUGAGUAACACGUGGAUAACCUACCUAUAAGACUGGGAUAACUUCGGGAAACCGGUGCUAAUACCGGAUAAUAUAUUGAACCGCAUGGUUCAAUAGUGAAAGACGGUUUUGCUGUCACUUAUAGAUGGAUCCGCGCCGCAUUAGCUAGUUGGUAAGGUAACGGCUUACCAAGGCGACGAUGCGUAGCCGACCUGAGAGGGUGAGCGGCCACACUGGAACUGAGACACGGUCCAGACUCCUACGGGAGGCAGCAGUAGGGAAGCUUCCGCAAUGGGCGAAAGCCUGACGGAGCAACGCCGCGUGAGUGAUGAAGGUCUUCGGAUCGUAAAACUCUGUUAUUAGGGAAGAACAAAUGUGUAAGUAACUAUGCACGUCUUGACGGUACCUAAUCAGAAAGCCACGGCUAACUACGUG
rnacentral:rRNA from 1 species